AACGCACCUUGCGCUCUAUGGCAAUCCGUAGAGCAUGCCUGUUUGAGUGCCAUGAAAUCUCCCACCCCAAGCGGUUUUUACAUGAAACGGCUUGGCGGAUGGGGUCUGGAUGGGUGCCUCUGCCUGCGCUACCUAGCACAGGCUCGCCCGAAAUGCAUGAGCGCCUUGAGACACUUUGCAUCCGCCUCUCUGUUUGGGAGGAGGCGGCCAAGCAGUGUUUUUCUCCUGGCAUGGCAUGAUACGUCAUUUGCUAUGUCGCCUAAAGGAGGAAUGUUUGGUUGUGUCUGCGUGUGCUUCGAACUUGCCUCUGUGGCACAUCCCCAAUUUCACUUCUGGUCUCAAAUCAGGUAGGAUCACCCGCUGAACUUAA
rnacentral:rRNA from 1 species